GGUAAUGCCGGAUGCUCCAGUUGAUCGCAUGGUCUUCUGGGAAAGCUUUCGCGGUAUGGGAUGGGGUCGCGUCCUAUCAGCUUGACGGCGGGGUAACGGCCCACCGUGGCUUCGACGGGUAGCCGGCCUGAGAGGGCGACCGGCCACAUUGGGACUGAGAUACGGCCCAGACUCCUACGGGAGGCAGCAGUGGGGAAUAUUGCACAAUGGGCGCAAGCCUGAUGCAGCGACGCCGCGUGAGGGAUGGAGGCCUUCGGGUUGUAAACCUCUUUUAUCGGGGAGCAAGCGAGAGUGAGUUUACCCGUUGAAUAAGCACCGGCUAACUACGUGCCAGCAGCCGCGGUAAUACGUAGGGUGCAAGCGUUAUCCGGAAUUAUUGGGCGUAAAGGGCUCGUAGGCGGUUCGUCGCGUCCGGUGUGAAAGUCCAUCGCUUAACGGUGGAUCCGCGCCGGGUACGGGCGGGCUUGAGUGCGGUAGGGGAGACUGGAAUUCCCGGUGUAACGGUGGAAUGUGUAGAUAUCGGAAAAAAAACACCACC
rnacentral:rRNA from 1 species